rnacentral:rRNA from 1 species
AGCAGCCGCGGUAAUUCCAGCUCCAAUAGCGUAUAUUAAAGUUGUUGCAGUUAAAAAGCUCGUAGUUGAAUUUCGGGGUUAGUAGGUUGGUCAUGCCUCUGGUAUGUACUGGUCUCACUGAUUCCUCCUUCCUGAUGAGCCGUAAUGCCAUUAAUUUGGUGUUGCGGGGAAUUUGGACUGUUACCUUGAAAAAAUUGAGUGUUUAAAGCAAGCUCACGCUUGAAUACAUUAGCAUGGAAUAAUGAAAUAGGACAUUGUAUUCUAUUUUGUUGGUUUCUAGGAUCGAUGUAAUGAUUAGUAGGGAUAGUUGGGGCAUUAGUAUUCAAUUGUCAGAGGUGAAAUUCUUAGGAUUUAUUGAAGACUAACUACUGCGAAAGCAUUUUGCCAAGGAUGUUUUCAUUAAUCAAGAACGAAGUUAGGGGAUCGAAGACGAUCAGAUACCGUGUAGUCUUAACCAUAAACUAUGCCGACUAGGGAUCGGAUGAUGUUAAUUUUUAUGACUCU